rnacentral:piRNA from 1 species
UUCACUAACACAUGUAUUGAUUCGCCUUA